GCGGCGGCCUGCCGAGCCUGCCGGGGCCCUCGCCCGGCCGCCCCUACCCGGGGGCUGAGGGACAGCGCCGGGCUGCGCUGGGCUGGCGGACAGCAGCAACAGGAUAGUGUUUUGCUACGGCACAUUAGGUCAACUUCGUCAAGUUUCCUUAAAGGAAGAAAGCAAUGCCUAGAAAUCUCCUCUGGCCUGGCUCAUCACCAGCUGUUGAAGGUAUCUGUCUGCAGCCAGACAAAUGCACUGUCACAGUCACUGCUGAUAAUCUGCAAACCAGCCUAGGAAAGCUGGGUGGCUGCAAGGGCAGAAGUAAUAAGGGAUUCUGUAGCCUCUCUGGCAUCCCCCAGCCUGCUCGAAGUUCCCUGUUUUACAUUUAGCAAAGCCCUGCUGCCAGGCAGGCCCAGUAAAGGCCAUUCACAUCAAUCUCAGCCAUGCAAGCUUCAUUGGCCAAAGUUCCUCUUAUUUGUCCUUAGCAACCUGCAAUGAUGUAACACAUUACAAUCCCCUAAGACACUCUGUUCCAGAGUUCAUUACCCCAGAAAGUUCCCAACUAAAAGACAAACCAUUUAGGAGAGGGCAGGGACCCAGGCUGUAACACACGACCUGCAGGCAUGACACAGGCUUUGCCACAAAGGCAUUAUAGGACCAUAGAAUCAUUUAGAUGGCAAAAGACCUUUAAAAUCAUCAGGUUCAAUGGUUACCACAGCACUGCCAAAUGCUGGUGAGAGUGGCUUUGUCUGGUGAUGCAGUACCAGCACGUUUCUUACCCUCUCCCUACUUAGCCCUGGUGAAAAGCCAUUAUUUCUUUCCCUUUGCAGCUGCCUUUUUGGGGUAUGAAGAUUACUGCCAUGCUCCUGUCUAUCUUCUUUGUCUAAAAUUAACAGUUUUAUAUAUGAGCAGAAUAUCAAAGCAAUGUCCUGCUGCCCUGGGAAAAAUUGUUAUUCUUGCACAGCUGUACAAGCACUGAUUAAGAAAAUGGGUUUUGGUAGGUUUUGAUUCAGAAAGACAUGAAUAGUGACUAAAUAUUCCUAUGUCUUAUUAACUUUUUAAUUUUCAAAAAUAAGUGUUUUAUUUUAGUCUCUUAAAUAUUUCCUGAUUGUGUGUUGCUCCUAUGACCUCUUACAUGAAUGAAUCAAUCUUUGAACUGAAUUGUGUUAAAAAGAAAUGUUCUGUGAAAUGAUGUGUAAACAAAAUCAUUUGCAACACAUUCAUACCUCCCAAUAAAAAUAGUUAAAAAUCUAGAUAGAGCAGAAACUUCCCUUCAUAUUUUCAAAAUAAUUCCAAAGCUGCAUAGUGAUUACUUUGUAUGUAAUUCAAGUCAGUUCUGAUAAACAACAUUAGCAGAAAUUUGCAUCUUCAUUCUUACUCCCUCAUUGUAAGUAGCCUAUAAGAAUCCAAACCUACCUCUGUAUUUGGCUGUAAGGAAGUAUGUAAUCUUUGGCCAAGUCUCCCACUUGCACUAAGAAAUACUACCGAAAGUUCAGAGAUAUCAUUGUAAUGUUUUGCAUGAAAAAUAGUAAUAAAUGUAUAAAAAUGUAAUAAAUGUAAAAUGUAAAAACUGUAAUAAAAAUGUCAAAAGUA